rnacentral:misc_RNA from 1 species
UGCUCCAUCCUCAAAGGUAAUUGUUGUCAUUGUUCCAUAUACUUGUCGAUGGUAUACUCCCUUGUAAGACUUCAACAAUCUGUUUCAUUGUUGGUCGAAAGCGUGCAGCUUUAUACACUGAUGCAGCAGCACAACAAAUCAUUCUUUUCAUUUCAUCUUCAUUAUAUUCUUGCAAUCUGAGAUCAACAAGAUCAACAUAGACAUUAUUGUUCAAAGCUUGUCCUAUUCGAUUCUUAGCCCAAGUAAUAAUAUCGCCUUGUUCAUCCAAAAGUUUUCUUCCACUAAUUAAUUCCAAAAGUAUAACACCGAAAGAAUAAACAUCUGAUUUAUCCGAUAUUCUUCGAUUACGGUAUUCUGUAUCUCUAUAUAAGACGUUAGCUACUAAUGAACGGAAGCUGUCAAAAUUCGGUAACAUAGCUGCAAGCAUAAUAUCUG